rnacentral:rRNA from 1 species
GAUGAACGCUGACAGAAUGCUUAACACAUGCAAGUCAACUGUGGCGGACGGGUGAGUAACGCGUAAAGAACUUGCCUCACAGAUAGGGACAACAUUUGGAAACGAAUGCUAAUACCUGAGACUGUGAGAGAGCUUUGGGUCCCAUUAGCUAGUUGGGGAGGUAACGGCUCACCAAGGCGAUGAUGGGUAGCCGGCCUGAGAGGGUGAUCGGCCACAAGGGGACUGAGACACGGCCCUUACUCCUACGUGAGGCAGCAGUGGGGAAUAUGGGACAAUGGACCAAAGUCUGAUCCAGACAUUCUGUGUGCACGAUGAAGUUUUCGGAAUGUAAAGUGCUUUCUGUUGGGAAGCGGUACCAACAGAAGUAGUGACGGCUAAAUACGUGCCAGCCGCCGCGGUAAUUC